rnacentral:tRNA from 1 species
AUUUAUAUAGUAUAUCAGUAUAUAUGACUUCCAAUCAUAAGGAUUAAUUCAUUUUAAUAUAAAUA